GAUGAACGCUGGCGGCGUGCCUAAUACAUGCAAGUCGAGCGAACGGACGAGAAGCUUGCUUCUCUGAUGUUAGCGGCGGACGGGUGAGUAACACGUGGAUAACCUACCUAUAAGACUGGGAUAACUUCGGGAAACCGUAGCUAAUACCGGAUAAUAUUUUGAACCGCAUGGUUCAAAAGUGAAAGACGGUCUUGCUGUCACUUAUAGAUGGAUCCGCGCUGCAUUAGCUAGUUGGUAAGGUAACGGCUUACCAAGGCAACGAUGCAUAGCCGACCUGAGAGGGGGAUCGGCCACACUGGAACGGAGACACGGUCCAGACUCCUACGGGAGGCAGCAGUAGGGAAUCGUCCGCAAUGGGCGAGAGCCUGACGGAGCAACGCCGCGUGAGUGAUGAAGGUCUUCGGAUCGUAAAACUCUGUUAUUAGGGAAGAACAUAUGUGUAAGUAACUGUGCACAUCUUGACGGUACCUAAUCAGAAAGCCACGGCUAACUACGUG
rnacentral:rRNA from 1 species